rnacentral:tRNA from 2 species
GUUGGUGUAGCUCAAUGGUAGAGCGGCGGUCUCCAAAACCGCGCCUGAGUUGGUUCGAUUCCAGCCACCUUCGCCA